AGAGUUUGAUCAUGGCUCAGAUUGAACGCUGGCGGCAGGCUUAACACAUGCAAGUCGAACGGUAACAGGAGAAAGCUUGCUUUCUUGCUGACGAGUGGCGGACGGGUGAGUAAUGCUUGGGAAUCUGGCUUAUGGAGGGGGAUAACGACGGGAAACUGUCGCUAAUACCGCGUAGAGUCGAGAGACGAAAGUGCGGGACCGCAAGGCCGCAUGCCAUAGGAUGAGCCCAAGUGGGAUUAGGUAGUUGGUGGGGUAAUGGCCUACCAAGCCGACGAUCUCUAGCUGGUCUGAGAGGAUGACCAGCCACACCGGGACUGAGACACGGCCCGGACUCCUACGGGAGGCAGCAGUGGGGAAUAUUGCGCAAUGGGGGCAACCCUGACGCAGCCAUGCCGCGUGAAUGAAGAAGGCCUUCGGGUUGUAAAGUUCUUUCGGUGACGAGGAAGGCGUGAUGUUUAAUAGGCAUCACGAUUGACGUUAAUCACAGAAGAAGCACCGGCUAACUCCGUGCCAGCAGCCGCGGUAAUACGGAGGGUGCGAGCGUUAAUCGGAAUAACUGGGCGUAAAGGGCACGCAGGCGGCUAUUUAAGUGAGGUGUGAAAUCCCCGGGCUUAACCUGGGAAUUGCAUUUCAGACUGGGUAGCUAGAGUACUUUAGGGAGGGGUAGAAUUCCACGUGUAGCGGUGAAAUGCGUAGAGAUGUGGAGGAAUACCGAAGGCGAAGGCAGCCCCUUGGGAAUGUACUGACGCUCAUGUGCGAAAGCGUGGGGAGCAAACAGGAUUAGAUACCCUGGUAGUCCACGCUGUAAACGCUGUCGAUUUGGGGAUUGGGCCUUGAGCUUGGUGCCCGAAGCUAACGUGAUAAAUCGACCGCCUGGGGAGUACGGCCGCAAGGCUAAAACUCAAAGGAAUUGACGGGGGCCCG
rnacentral:rRNA from 1 species